rnacentral:ncRNA from 1 species
GAUCCUAAGAGACGGGGGAAGACCGUCCGAUAGCGCGUUCAGCGCGAGCUUCGAAAGGGAAUCGGGUUAAAAUUUCUGAACCGGGACGCAGCUGCUGACAGCAACGUUAGGGAGUCCGGAGACGUCAGCGAGGGCAUCGGGAAGAGUUAUCUUUUCUAUUUAAAGGCCUGCCCACCCUGGAAACGGCUCAGCCGAAGGUAGGGUCCAGCGGUCGGAAGAGCACCGCACGUCGCGUGGUGUCCGGUGCGCCCCCGGCGGCCCUUGAAAAU